GUGGGGAAUAUUGGGCAAUGGACGAAAGUCUGACGGAGCGACGCCGCGUGAGUGAAGAAGGCCUUCGGGUCGUAAAGCUCUGUCAUCAGGGACGAACGGCCGGUGGAGUGGAAAGCCACCGGAUUGACGGUACCUGAGAAGGAAGCCACGGCUAACUACGUGCCAGCAGCCGCGGUAAUACGUAGGUGGCAAGCGUUGUCCGGAAUUAUUGGGCGUAAAGCGCGCGCAGGUGGGAUCUUAAGUCCAUUUUUAAAGUUCGGAGCUCAACUCCGUGAUGGGAUGGAAACUGGGAUUCUUGAGUACCGGAGAGGAAAGCGGAAUUCCCCGUGUAGCGGUGAAAUGCGUAGAUAUGGGGAGGAACACCAGUGGCGAAGGCGGCUUUCUGGACGGUGUCUGACACUGAGGCGCGAAAGCCAGGGGAGCGAACGGGAUUAGAAACCCCUGUAGUCC
rnacentral:rRNA from 1 species